rnacentral:rRNA from 1 species
GACGAACGCUGGCGGCGUGCUUAACACAUGCAAGUCGAACGGAAAGGCCCCUUUGGGGGUACUCGAGUGGCGCACGGGUGAGUAACACGUGAGUAACCUGCCCUUGACUUCGGGAUAACUUCAGGAAACUGGGGCUAAUACCGGAUAGGAAUCCUUGCUGCAUGGUGGGGGUUGGAAAGCUUCGGCGGUUUUGGAUGGACUCGCGGCUUAUCAGCUUGUUGGUGGGGUAGUGGCUUACCAAGGCUUUGACGGGUAGCCGGCCUGAGAGGGCGACCGGCCACAUUGGGACUGAGAGACGGCCCAGACUCCUACGGGAGGCAGCAGUGGGGAAUAUUGCACAAUGGGCGGAAGCCUGAUGCAGCAACGCCGCGGGCGGGAUGACGGCCUUCGGGUUGUAAACCGCUUUCAGCAGGGGCGAAGCUUGUGGUGACGGUACCUGCAGAAGAAGCACCGGCUAACUACGUG